rnacentral:rRNA from 1 species
CAUGCAGGCGGCCUGUUAAGUCAGGAUGGUGAAAGCCCGGGGCUUAACCUCGGAAUUGCAUUUGAAACUAGGCAGGCUAGAGUCUUGUAGAGGGGGUAGGAAUUUCAGGUGUAGCGGUGAAAUGCGUAGAGAUCUGAAGGAAUACCAGUGGCGAAGGCGGCCCCCUGGACAAAGACUGACGCUCAGAUGCGAAAGCGUGGGGAGCAAACAGGAUUAGAUACCCUGGUAG